CAAAAGUGCAAUUGGGAACAGAGGUGUUGAGAGGAGAUGAUAAACAAUCAACUCUUCAAAGCCAGUGAGAGUCCCUGGCUUCUGAUGGGCCUCUGACAUUUGUUCUGACAUCUGAAGGAGAAAAUUGAUGCAUAAAGAAUUGGAGUAUUUACUAUCUCAAUAAAUACUUAUCUGGAAUUAAGAUGAAGCAGCACUGAGAUUUCUCUGGACUAAAACAAUUAAAUUGGAUCUAUAAAGCUUGCCAUAAGACCAAGAUAUACUCCUAGGCAUUUCAUCCUCAUAUCCCAACAAGGAUUGGUGGCGUAUGGAUGAUAUCCAUUGAUAGGUUACAGAAGGAAGAGCCUAAAGGAAAAUGUAGGUCAAGUGCUUUUAUCCCUUGCAACUUUCAGAAGAACAAUCACAAAAUUACA
rnacentral:lncRNA from 12 species